AACCUCCGCAAUGUGAGAAAUCGCGACGGGGGGAUCCCAAGUGCCAUUCUUAACGGGAUGGCUUUUCAUUAGUGUAAAGAGCUUUUGGAAUAAGAGCUGGGCAAGACCGGUGCCAGCCGCCGCGGUAACACCGGCAGCUCUAGUGGUAGCAACUUUUAUUGGGCCUAAAGCGUCCGUAGCCGGUUUAAUAAGUCUCUGGUGAAAUCCUGUAGCUUAACUGUGGGAAUUGCUGGAGAUACUAUUAGACUUGAGACCGGGAGAGGUUAGAGGUACUCCCAGGGUAGAGGUGAAAUUCUGUAAUCCUGGGAGGACCGCCUGUUGCGAAGGCGUCUAACUGGAACGGUUCUGACGGUGAGGGACGAAAGUUAGGGGCGCGAACCGGAUUAGAUACCCGGGUAGUCCUAACCGUAAACGAUGCGGACUUGGUGUUGGGGUGGCUUUGAGCUGCUCCAGUGCCGAAGGAAGCUGUUAAGUCCGCCGCCUGGAAGUACGGUCGCAAGACUGAAACUUAAAGGAAUU
rnacentral:rRNA from 1 species